rnacentral:rRNA from 1 species
AUUGAACGCUGGCGGCAGGCCUAACACAUGCAAGUCGAACGAGCGGCGGACGGGUGAGUAAUGUAUGGGGACUGCCCGAUAGAGGGGGCUAACUACUGGAAACGGUGGCUAAUACCGCAUACUAUCCUAUAGCCCAUAUGGGAUUAGCGAGUAGGUGGGGUAAAGGCUCACCUAGGCGACGAUCUCUAGCUGGUCUGAGAGGAUGAUCAGCCACACUGGGACUGAGACACGGCCCAGAAUCCGACGGAGGCAGCAGUGGGGAAUAUUGGACAAGGGGCGCAAGUCUGAUGGAGCAACGCCGCGUGAAUGAAGAAGGUUUUAGGGUUGUAAAGUACUGUUGGGGGAGAGGCGGUACCUAAAGAAGAAGCAACGGCUAACUCCGUGCCAGCAGCCGCGGUAAUAC